rnacentral:misc_RNA from 1 species
GAUGAAGAACGUAGCGAAAUGCGAUAAGUAAUGCGAAUUGCAGAAUUCAGUGAGUCAUCGAAUCUUUGAACGCACAUUGCGCCCUGUAGUAUUCCGCAGGGCAUGCCUGUUCGAGCGUCAUUUCAACCCUCAAGCUCUGCUUGGUGUUGGGCCCUGCCCGCUCGCGGCCGGCCCUAAAGACAGUGGCGGUGCCGUCUGGCUCUAAGCGUAGUACAUCUCUCGCUCUGGUGCCCGGCGGUGUCCUGCCAGAACCCCCCAACUCUGUGGUUGACCUCGGAUCAGGUAGGGAUACCCGCUGAACUUAAGCAUAUCAAUAAGCGGAGGA